AUACUACUCCCUCUGUUCCGAAUUACUUGUCGCAAGUAUGGAUGUAUCUAGAUGUAUUUUAGUUCUAAACACACCCAUUUCUUCAACGAGUAAUUUGGAACGGAGGGAGUACUAC
rfam:Triticum urartu cultivar G1812 contig426036, whole genome shotgun sequence.